rnacentral:rRNA from 1 species
GCUCAGAUUGAACGCUGGCGGCAUGCCUUACACAUGCAAGUCGAACGGCAGCGCGGGAGCAAUCCUGGCGGCGAGUGGCGAACGGGUGAGUAAUACAUCGGAACGUGCCCAAUCGUGGGGGAUAACGCAGCGAAAGCUGUGCUAAUACCGCAUACGAUCUACGGAUGAAAGCAGGGGAUCGCAAGACCUUGCGCGAAUGGAGCGGCCGAUGGCAGAUUAGGUAGUUGGUGAGGUAAAGGCUCACCAAGCCUUCGAUCUGUAGCUGGUCUGAGAGGACGACCAGCCACACUGGGACUGAGACACGGCCCAGACUCCUACGGGAGGCAGCAGUGGGGAAUUUUGGACAAUGGGCGCAAGCCUGAUCCAGCCAUGCCGCGUGCAGGAUGAAGGCCUUCGGGUUGUAAACUGCUUUUGUACGGAACGAAACGGCCUUUUCUAAUAAAGAGGGCUAAUGACGGUACCGUAAGAAUAAGCACCGGCUAACUACGUGCCAGCAGCCGCGGUAAUACGUAGGGUGCAAGCGUUAAUCGGAAUUACUGGGCGUAAAGCGUGCGCAGGCGGUGAUGUAAGACAGUUGU